ensembl:snoRNA
CGGACAUUUGUUUUUAUUUGGUUUCUUCGCAAGGUGAAGAUAACCCUUUAUAAAUGUCCUAGAGAAACAUAGUAGUUUUCUGUUCACCCUUUGCAAGGAAAAGGGGUGGAUCGUUCCACUACUGACAUUU